GUUCCCUGCAAGCACUUCACG
rnacentral:miRNA from 1 species